GUGAGUUUUCUGAUAAUUUACUCACAGUAUAGAAUUCCUAAUCAACCAUUUUCUUUCCUACUAGUUUGUUUUAUGUUAGCAAAAAGAUAUACAAAACUACCCUCCUUUUUUACUUCAUUUUUAGGUUUUUCUUUAAAUAUUCAUACUCAAAUUUUGCAAAACUACAGCAAGAUUUGUGAAACUUAACCGAAAUGGAAUCUGUAAGUUUUCAUACCACAACUAAAGCAAAAAGGAAAGAAGCAGCACAAAUGAUUAAGAAAGAAUUUCUCCAACUGCAUCAUCAUAAAACAGGGACAGUUUGAAGGAGAGGAAAUUCAUGAGGGCAUCUGGAGAGAAAAAACCCAAGCAUCAAUGCUUAAUGUAGUAGUAUCUUCUUUGGAUCAAAUUUCCACUACAAAAUGUUACUGUGGCUGAAUUCAGAACAGUCAUGUCAAGUGACACAAUGCUGAACAGGGUUCAUCCUAGUCCACACUGACUUCUAAAUGGUAUUCAGCAUUGUGCUUGUUAAUGCAAUUGCUAGCAAGAGUUCUCAGGCAUAGUAACAUGUAAAACAGGCCUUUUUCUUUGCUUUUUCCUUCUUUGCCUACUUACCUUGGUAGAGAGAAUUUUGGGCAAAUAUACAGACUAUAUGAUUGCAAAGUAAAGCUAUCAGGAUACGGUAUCUGAACAGUGAAUUGAAAAAUCCUCUAAUACAAAGAGGAAGUAAUCUCAGAGAGCUGCACAAGAACCAUCAACUUGUCAUUUGCCCGUCCACAUUGCUCCCAGGCCUGUUCUUACAACACUGCAGAAAUUAUCCAUUACACAAGGCACCCUGUAUCCAAAUGCAUAUGAUUGAGGAUAUUCAGCCAAUUAAGCCAUACGACUGAGAAUAUCCCUAAGUGCUUACCAUAUUACAUAGAAUAGGAGCUAACUAUUUGUAACAGAGAAGUUUCAUUAUGUAACUAUCCCUUUUGCUGCAAGUUUUACUAGUCAGACAAUGGGCUGCAAUAUGGAGUUCUAUAUUUCAAUCACAACUGACAGCAAGAUCUGUGUGCUGGGCCUACUGCCUGCAAUAGGAAGGAUGUUUCCACUUAGAAAUAACCCUCUACAUUUAAAAAAAUAUUAAAUAUUGUUUUAAAGCUGA